rnacentral:rRNA from 1 species
CCUACGGGUGGCAGCAGUGAGGAAUAUUGGUCAAUGGGCGGGAGACUGAACCAGCCAAGCCGCGUGAAGGAAGAAGGCGCCAAGUGUCGUAAACUUCUUUUGUCGGGGAACAAAGACUGCCACGCGUGGCGUUGUGAGUGUACCCGAAGAAAAAGCAUCGGCUAACUCCGUGCCAGCAGCCGCGGUAAUACGGAGGAUGCGAGCGUUAAUCGGAAUUACUGGGUGUAAAGCGCUCGUAGGCGGUAUGUCAAGUCAAGGGUGAAAUCCCCGCGCUCAACGUCGGAACUGCCUUUGAAACUGGCAGACUGGAGUGUGUGAGAGGAUAGUGGAAUGCCAGGUGUAGGAGUGAAAUCCGUAGAUAUCUGGCAGAACAUCAGUGGCGAAGGCGACUAGCUGGCACAUAACUGACGCUGAGGAGCGAAAGCGUGGGUAGCGAACAGGAUUAGAUACCCUAGUAGUC